GGGGGUAUAGCUCAGUGGUAGAGCAUUUGACUGCAGAUCAAAGGGUCCCCAGUUCAACUCUGGGUUCCCCCU